GAUGAACGCUAGCUACAGGCUUAACACAUGCAAGUCGAGGGGUAGCAGGGUAGCAAUACCGCUGACGACCGGCGCACGGGUGAGUAACACGUAUCCAGCCUUCCCAUAACUCGGGGAUAGCCUUUCGAAAGAAAGAUUAAUACCCGAUAGUACUUUUUCAAGGCAUCUUGAGAAAGUUAAAGAUUUAUUGGUUAUGGAUGGGGAUGCGUUCCAUUAGAUAGUUGGUGAGGUAACGGCUCACCAAGUCUUCGAUGGAUAGGGGUUCUGAGAGGAAGGCCCCCACAUUGGUACUGAGACAUGGACCAAACUCCUACGGGAGGCAGCAGUGAGGAAUAUUGGUCAAUGGGCGAGAGCCUGAACCAGCCAAGUAGCGUGAAGGAUGAAGGUCCUAUGGAUUGUAAACUUCUUUUAUAGUAGAAUAAAGUGAUCCACGUGUGGAUUUUUGUAUGUAUACUAUGAAUAAGGAUCGGCUAACUCCGUGCCAGCAGCCGCAGUAA
rnacentral:rRNA from 1 species